rnacentral:rRNA from 1 species
AUAGCGUAUAUUAAAGUUGUUGCGGUUAAAAAGCUCGUAGUUGAACCUUGGGCCUAGCCGGCCGGUCCGCCUCACCGCGUGCACUGGCUCGGCUGGGCCUUUCCUUCUGGAGAACCGCAUGCCCUUCACUGGGUGUGCGGGGGAACCAGGACUUUUACCUUGAAAAAAUUAGAUUGUUUAAAGAAGGCCUAUGCCCGAAUACAUUAGCAUGGAAUAAUAAAAUAGGACGUGUGGUUCUAUUUUGUUGGUUUCUAGAGCCGCCGUAAUGAUUAAUAGGGACAGUCGGGGGCAUCAGUAUUCAAUUGUCAGAGGUGAAAUUCUUGGAUUGAAUAAAGACUAACUUCUG